rnacentral:lncRNA from 1 species
GACCUCAUUUGGAAAGAGAGUCUUUAUAGAUGUAACACACUAAGAGGAGGUCAUUAGGGUCGGCCUUGACCAAUAUAACUGGUGUCCUGACAGGAAGGGGACAUUCAGACACAGAUGCACACAGGGAUGACCACGAAGGAACACAGGGGAAAGCCACGCUAAGACAGAGGAUUGAACUGUUGCAUGUACAAAGGAAGGAAUGCACAAAAGUAUGGCAGCCACCCACCAGAAACAAGAAAGAGGUAAAGAAGGAUGCUUGCUUAUAGGUUUUAGAAGGAAUAUGGCCCUGCCAACACCUGACAUCAGACUUGUAGUCUCCAGAACUGAGAAGACAAUCAUUUCUGUUGUUUGAAGCCACCCAGGUUUUGGUAUGUUGUUACAGCAGCCGUAACAAAUGAUCACCUGGAUCCAGCCAGGCCUGAAGCCACGGCUAUUUUAGUCACACAAGCCCCAAACUCUUCUUUUCUUUCUCUUGAUCCGAUAUCCCCCACUUGUAACCAGAGAGUGACUGUGUCAAAUGGUCCAUGUUGUCACUGCAGCUUUGUGCUUGGUAUCUGACCUGUUGGCCAUCUUUUCUCACCUCUGCCUGUGAGAUCACCCCCCCCCCCACCCCCCAUCCCCUGCCCCGGCGCCUUAGCAUGGGGAGGGCUGCAGGAAGUUUGUGCUGCUGAGUCACGAAGUGAAAUGACUGUUUAGGAAUAUUGCAAAAAUAAUAGCCUCUUAGAACAGUUUGAUGUCUUUUUGUUUACAUGUUUCCCCAAGCAGGGUAAUGAGGUUGGCGUCUCCGUGUGGCCCGUGGUUUACUCAGCACGACCAGGGAAGAAAGGCCCCUCUGGGCUUCAACACCUUUCAGGGGGAAAUUCAUGCUGUUCCUCUGGGCUAAGGCUUCACAAUUCUUGGAUUUGGGGAAUGGUGCCUGUGACUCUACACCCUUCCCUCCCCACCUGCCUCCGGGGACUCUGAGGGAGUGGCCCAUACUCAAACAGCCCUACAGGAGGUGCCUAGAUCCUCGUGCCCCAGGGAUAAUCCCCUAAACACCGUUUAGGGCAGCUUUGCGGCCGGUGAGUCACAAGCUUGUGGUGUGCCUCCUUUCUGGGUGUAGGAGUGUAGGGAGGAGGGUAGGGUAGCCGGGGG